UGGGGAAUAUUGCACAAUGGGGGGAACCCUGAUGCAGCGACGCCGCGUGAGUGAAGAAGUGUUUCGGCACGUAAAGCUCUGUCAGCAGGGAAGAAGAUGACGGUACCUGACCAAGAAGCCCCGGCUAACUACGUGCCAGCAGCCGCGGUAAUACGUAGGGGGCAAGCGUUAUCCGGAUUUACUGGGUGUAAAGGGAGCGCAGACGGCAGCGCAAGUCCGGGGUGAAAGCCCGCGGCCCAACCGCGGGACUGCCCUGGAAACUGUGCGGCUGGAGUGCCGGAGAGGUAAGCGGAAUUCCUAGUGUAGCGGUGAAAUGCGUAGAUAUUAGGAGGAACACCAGUGGCGAAGGCGGCUUACUGGACGGUAACUGACGUUGAGGCUCGAAAGCGUGGGGAGCAAACAGG
rnacentral:rRNA from 1 species